AUGGAAUCUUUCAUGGAAUAUAUCCUCGUGAAGAAGACGGCGAACGGUCAACCCGCCUUAUCGGUUGACCUCCAAAGGAGAAGACUAGUACGAGUAGUAUGCAUGCACGGCAGUCCCGUGGCAUCUACGCACAGGCACGGCAAGUCAAGCUCGCCGGGCGUUCGUGUCCGGAUCGCACAGCGCAACCUGAUGGCAACAUACACUGCGCCGGUCAACCGAGACGUCUCGCGAACUCCCCCGGAAGCCGGCGACGACGUCCCCGUCACGAGCGUUCGUGUUGGUCCGUUUACAAAAACUUAUCUAGCUAGCUAG
rnacentral:rRNA from 1 species